rnacentral:rRNA from 1 species
AACGAACGCUGGCGGCAGGCCUAACACAUGCAAGUCGAGCGAGGACUUCGGUCCUAGCGGCGGACGGGUGAGUAACGCGUGGGAACGUGCCCUUUGCUUCGGAAUAGCCCUGGGUAACUGGGAGUAAUACCGGAUGAGCCCUUUGGGGGAAAGAUUUAUCGGCGAAGGAUCGGCCCGCGUUGGAUUAGGUAGUUGGUGGGGUAAUGGCCUACCAAGCCGACGAUCCAUAGCUGGUUUGAGAGGAUGAUCAGCCACACUGGGACUGAGACACGGCCCAGACUCCUACGGGAGGCAGCAGUGGGGAAUCUUAGACAAUGGGGGAAACCCUGAUCUAGCCAUGCCGCGUGAGCGAUGAAGGCCUUAGGGUUGUAAAGCUCUUUCAGCUGGGAAGAUAAUGACGGUACCAGCAGAAGAAGCCCCGGCUAACUCCGUG